UUGACCAGCCUGGUCUUGAAUGCUGGCCUCAAGUAAUCCUCCUGCCUCAGCCUCCCAAAUGCUGGGAUUACAGGUGUGAGCCACUGCACCUGGCUGUUGUUGAUGACUUUGGUAGUUUCGAGGAGGACUGGUCACGUAUUUUGUAGCACAUAUCUUAAUUGAGAUAUGUCUGUUUUUCUCACAGGCUGUGGUUAUGGUUUUUGGGAGGAAGACCACAGAGGUGAAAUGUCAUUUUCAUCACAUCAUCUUAAGGGUACAUACGAUCAACAUGACUUCUCACUGAUGGUGUUAACCUUGAUCACCUGGCUAAGGACUCGGAGUUCAUUGUGCUGAACGUUUUUUGUACAAGACUUUGCUCUGGGACAAUCUGAACUCUCUUAAGGGUGACCAGACGGCCCUUGCUGAACUACAUGUGACUUUCUUUUGUGUUAGUGAAAAUGAAGAUUAGGUUGCCACGGCCCAGAGUUACUUGAUAUUCUCAUUGUUGAAUCUAUUUAUAC